CGGCCGCCGGGCAGCGCCGCCAGAGGGGGCGGAGGAGGCGGCGGGGGGAGCUGCAGGAUCCUACUCAUAUGCAAGGACUCCACGGGAGCAGAGGUGGAGGGGGGACGUCUAGAACUCCACUUCUGAGAAGUUACGUUUUUCUAGUGAGCGCCUGUCCAGACGCACCCAUCCAUGCUUUACGUAAGUGGAAGCCAAAUAUCUGCCAAAAUGUCUGGAGCUGCCAAUGAGGUCUGGAUUGAGGAAGGUUAAAAGGAUUUUUGCAAGAUGCUAUUGGGAAAAUCCUGUGUUCCAUGGACAGUUUCUUGCAGAAGACUCACAUCUUGCAGGAAAGCUUUGCUCUAAGCAGUUGUUGAGACAGAGCUGUACACAACAGAUAGAUGAAAACUGAAGCAGCUCAUAUGUUCCCUAAGGUGUGAUUUUCAGCCUUUUAAGACUUCCACCUUCUCUUCUGUCACAUUCCAUGACACCAUAGUCUCUCCUACUCUUCCCCAAUAUAUACAUACCAUAACUCUUCUAGCCUGCCCCAAACCUCUGCCUUUCUCGGACUAUAGCUACUCAUACUGUUUAUUCUUCUCCACAGAAAAAAAAUGCACUCCUUCCUCCAAGAGAAAUGGCUCAUUCAGCCCAAAUUUUAUAGCCCAGAUUCCGGCAAAGGCUCCUUACACCUUUUAGUUUUUGUCUUUCUAGCUAUCAUGUCCAGAGCUCUGCACUUCAGUUGCCACUAGAGUCUUUCUGUCAGUCCUUGUGUGUCCAAUUCUGAGGAUUUUCAGCAUAAGUAUCUCUCGCUCCUUCUCUCUUGUUGCCCCCCACCUUCCAAAAAAGGGCAAGGAGAGUGGUAGGAUGGAGGAGAAGAUGGCUGCUGCGCAACCAGCCAGCUCCCAGGCCAUGUUCACGUCACAGCUUUUGGCCUGCUUUUUUCAUCUUCACUAGCUCAAAGGAAAUGCCAUAUUCUUCAAGGGGCUGCAAACCAGAAAGCUUUGGGAGUGUGGAAAGCGUGAAGGGCAGAGAUAAACCUGGGCAGAACUUCUGGGUUUUUUACACCUUGGUAGGAGGUAUGGGCUACUCCUCCUCUCCUCAGAUGAAGGGCCUCGCUCUAGUUUACGUGAGUUUCUGGUGGUUCCAAGAACAUGGAGUAGCAUCUGGGAACUGGCAGGGCAAAAAGGAUUCCAGACACAUUUACCUGUGCUGUCUGUGCUCUUUCUUGAUGUUCCCAUUGGCUAGUUAAAUUGUCUUUAUGGGCAAAAUCUGCUAACUGAUCAUCACAAAUUAACUUCACCAGUUCAGGAUCUGUUUCACAGAAAAUAAAUCAUUUAGGUGUAAUGUGAACUCCCCUUCUCCCAAUACUGUCUAAAAGUCAGAAGCAGCUUAAAGGAGCUCUACAGCAUUCAAUUCCAGACCCAUAAGAGCUCAGUGGUCCGGAAAAUAAGGAAGAGAGUGUCAGAAUCAGUUCUUGGGAUGUCUUCACAAAGCCUGUGCAUUCAGAGUUGUGCUGGAGCCUGGAACAAGCUCUCGGUCCUGAAGCAGCUCUCUCAGAGACUGCUUUAUUCCACAAAACAGCCCAGAGCCUGGAGUAUGCAACUGGCUUCACACAUAGCAUCUUCUUCCUCCAGGGUGUGAGUUCUGUGUUGUAUCUCCUAGAGUCAACUGGGCGAUCAGCAACAAGCCUGAGACUCCAGGCCAGUCUAGCUCAGCUGUGAUUCACAAAUGACUGCAUCUUCACCAGGAUACGUCACUACAACUUCAGGGAGCAUGUCCUACAGUGAGGUGAACCAUUCUGUGAUUCUUCCUCAAGGAAUAUUAGAAAAAAACAUCUAUCUAUGAGGGGAAUGGAAGAGAGGCACUGGAAGAAACCACUUAGUGUUUAAUAGCUUAGCUUAUAUCCUGACUGCAAGAUAAGCAGUUAUAUUCACACUAAAAGCUUCACCUAGGCCUUCACUUAUAGCCUUUGGGUCCAAGCAAGAUAGUCAGGGUUAUAUACUCUGUGAAACUCAAGAGAUUUUCAUCUGUGGAUGAGCAGAGGAUUUAGGGACAAAAUUGUGAGCUGAAUUUACACUGCAGCAAACAUGCCUUCAGGGCUGCAACACAGCCUUUACACUCUACAAAUCCACAGAUCUGGUCAUGCCCCAAAUUUGUAGCUGGACUACAAUUUCAGACUUCUUUGGAGCUGAGGAAAGUGAAUCAGAUGUCCUGAUUUAAUUAAAGACAUAAUUAAAAGACAAUAUUUGAUCCAGAAUUCACUGUGAAAUCUACAGUAAACCUCCUUUGGCCCAGGCUGGAGGGGUGCAUAUAAAGGAGGUGGGUUUGAGUCACUCUUCUGUCUUGCGUUUCAUCUGUGCCGCAACAUAUGGAACUUCCUGCUGUUGAUAGCUGUAGCACACACAAUUACUAUUGGCAAAACAAUGAUUUAAGAGUGAGAAAGGGAUGCAAAAAUUUGCGAGAGGAGAAUGUAAAAUAUGCAGAUAAAACCUUCGUCCCACCUCACACAAUUAUAACAGCUGUAACUUUCCGAGGGGAUUAAUACGGGUUUAUCAGCCAGUCCCAGGGCAAGAUAUUAGAAAAGUUUAUAGCGAAAGGAAAACAAAUACUGAGGAGAUGUUCUGGAGUAAAUUGUCUCUCAUUUUACUCUGAAGCUUACACUGGCUGAAUGUUGAUAUACUGCUGCAGCACCAGAGCUCAUCAUUCUCUGGAUUAGCACUAAAGAAAAUGCAUUAGUUUGACAGUUAUGGUAAAUGAGCCUUGAUUUUUUUCUUUUUUAUUCAUGGCUCGUUAGGUGUGCAGGUCACGUUCCAGCCUCAUUAGUGAAUGGUGGCAACUUAAGUCUAGUUAUUAAUUCUCCAGCUUGCAAAUUGUUAGCAACUAAAGCCCACUAAUAUUGACAUAAUGUUGGCUGAACCAGAGAUUUCUGAGUCUAGCAGGACUUUUAUUUUCAUUUCUUGAUGAAAAAUGUGUUGUCAAAUAAAAACAUAACUGUUUAGAACUAGACAGGUUCACAUGGGCUGGCAUUACACCUGGUGUGUUAACAACUGGCAAAAAUGACAUUGCUUGAAUGUUUCCAUUUUGAUUAUUUUUUUGGUAAUUGUUCAAGACUUUUGAAAUUUUACAGGCCUGAUUUUUCCCUGGAGAGCUUAAAAAUUAAUUUAGUGAGCCAAAACACUUAAAAAACACUUCCUUUUCUCCCCAGGAGGUGAAUUUUUGCCUGAGUGCAAUGGUCCUUGGUAACUUAAAACAGCAUAUCUUGUAUUAGCAAGAUUUAAUCUCCAUCUUAUUUACUCCUAAAUAGUCCAACAGUCUUAGUCUUCUCCUGGCAUAAGUCACCUAUUCAUUCUGUACGGUUACUAGUGCAAAACUUUCAGGGGACAAUUAUAAACAUUCACAAUUUAUUCAUGUUUGAUAGAAAUGAGAUUAAUAGAGAGCAUGAGCAAUGGAAAAUCAUCGCUGUUAAGACAUUUCUAAUGUGUCCAUGACCACAAUACCCCAGCAUGUUACUGAAGUUAACUGAGGCAUAAUUCAACUUAUGCACUAUUUUCUUCCUUCUAAUUACGAUAGCACAGCUUUGCUUGUGUCACACAAGUGUGUGUUUAUACAUGCAUGAUCAUUCCUGUUUCCUACAGGAAUAAGCUAAGAUUGAUUUCUGACCCUAGUAAUAUAAUGAAAGUCCAUAACUAGACAAAGUAAAACAUGAUGUUACAUGACAGAAGAGCAUCCAUUGUCUCCUACUAAAAUGUAAAGAGAGAUUUAGUACCUCAUUUUGCAGUCUAUUCAUUACACAUCUUUUUUUUUAUUGUAAAAUUUGACCUCCCCUUUGCAAAACUCCUGUAAAAUUAACCCUGUGGCUUACCUUCCAAUUUAAAAUUAAAUUCUUGGGAAAUCCAGUGAAACAAUUCUCAGGCUAUGCAUGGUUACACGUUGCUUUUCUUGCUGUGACUCUACUCUGAACUGUUGAGCUGAAGGUAUAUUGAAAUGUCAGCAUGCUGCUUGCCUAUAAAUAAAGAACAGGCAUGUAGAGUGAGUGGUGUCAAGAGAGAAAUGACAAAUCAUGUGCACAUAUAACCCUGUACUUCCUGUGUUUAUCCCCCAUCCAGCUAUCCAAUAUUGAAAUAUAAUUUGUGCAGUGUGAUCUGAAUCAUAUUCAAAGGAUGGGCAAUUUUAUUACCAUUCAUCCUUCUCAGGAUCACUUUUAACAGCAUGUGUAGCUGAACUUUCCAAGACAUAAUCUUUUUCUGUGAGAAGUGUUAUCUGAAUACAAACAGUGGGUCAAGAAGAAAUUGGAGAGCCAGAAGUUCAUAGUGCUCCCGAGAAGGAGAACUGGACAGAUUCUACUGAACCAAGUAAAAAUUUUUACAAACUGUGUCCAUUGGACUUAAUCUCUCAUUUGUCCAAUGUCUUGUUUCCAGAGUCUGUCACUUGAAUCUUUUUGUAUUGAAAAUAUUCACUAAAAGGCCAUUCACUACUCACAGUACCUCUGUCUUCAGUCAGUCUGGCUCAUAUACACAUGCUACGUGAAACCAUAUUUCAUGCAGGAGAUUCUUAGGCUCCCGAAAGUAUAACUUUUUCAGGGCUAAUAACAAGGACAAUGACAGGAGAAAUGGUAGAACAGGAAACCAGCCAGAGGUACUGUCUCUUAGGACUUUUCACAGGUGAGGGGCUGUGACAUGAUCACCAACAAGGACAAGCAGUUCUGCAGAACAGCAACAGGGAGGUGGAAGCGGGAGAGCAGAAGAGUGUGGGUAGCAGUAGAAAAAGGAGAAUCAGGAAAAAAUUGCUACCUUCUAUUUUAUUUAUGGCUCUUAAAGGCCCCAAAUGCCCCCACAUCAUUAAUACCUUAACCCAGGGAAUUAAAAGAAUAGAAGGAGAAACAGAGAUUUUUGUUAUCGUUUAUUUCACAGAAAUUCUGGCCUUAUAUCUGAUAUCACAGUUCUUACGUUUGUGCUGUCAUUUUUCAUGUACUUAGCUUUUUGCAAUGUAUUUCAACUAUACAUUUGAUGAAUUCUUCAUUUUCCUCUCUUAAAAAGUUGUGUUUAUGUAUUUAUUCUUUGUAUAAUAAACAUUCCUGUGCAUUUA